UGAUGAUGAUGACGAUGCAAGACGUUUCCUUCAGAAUGUAGCAAGCAGCCAAUGCCUGCUGAAAGCGAUGACGACGAUUGUAAAUCGUGUGAAGACAAGCGAGACGAUAGGGUUAUUCUCCUAGCGAGCAGAGCUAAGGAAGCCCAAGCGAUAGUAACAUCAUGAUGACGGAAUCCAGGCAGACCAAUAGGAGCGCAGCGCAGGCGAUUGUCUCCGAGCUCGUCUGCUUCGCGUUCACUCAGCAAAAAGUCCUCGAAGCCGAUCACAGACUCUUCGCGAACUGCAGACGCGCUGCCAUCUGCCUUCCCACCGCUCGCCGAAAGCCAUCUGGGCGCCCCCUGGUUGGACUUGUCUUAAAGAAGUAAAGAAGAGUGACUAAUUGGACCGGCUACUCCUGUACGCUUAUGGUAGCGAGGAGUGUCUACCAAGGAGUCUAAAAGGAUGUUUGGAAUACAGAAGACCUAAGGAAGGAGAUCACAGAGCGUGCACCAUGUGGAUGUGCUGCUGGCCAGUCGCCGAGUACCUCCUUGAGGUCAGGAGGGCCGUUGUUGUUGAGUUGUAUUGCAGUUCCAUUCUCCCACAAAUCACAAACGACGCAACAGCUGAAUCCAGUUCCUUUUGUAUUGCAGUAGAGGUA